rnacentral:rRNA from 1 species
GUCGAACGCUGGCGGCGUGCCUAACACAUGCAAGUCGAACGAAGUGGCGAACGGGUGAGUAACGCGUAAUCAACCUGCCCUUCAGUGGGGGACAACAGUUGGAAACGACUGUUAAUACCGCAUACUGAAGGAGGUGAUUGGUUCGGAUCAGCUAGUUGGAGGGGUAACGGCCCACCAAGGCGAGGAUCAGUAGCCGGUCUGAGAGGAUUAACGGCCCAAUUGGGACUGGGACACGGCCCAGACUCCUUAGGUAGGCAGCAGUGGGGAAUCUUCCGCAAUGGACGAAAGUCUGACGGAGCAACGCCGCGUGAGUGAUGACGGCCUUCGGGUUGUAAAGCUCUGUUAAUCGGGACGCGGUACCGGAAUAGAAAGCCACGGCUAACUACGUGCCAGCAGCCGCGGUAAUAC